rnacentral:rRNA from 1 species
UACGUAGGGGGCAAGCGUUGCUCGGAAUCACUGGGCGUAAAGGGUGCGUAGGCGGGUCUUUAAGUCAGGCGUGAAAUCCUGGAGCUCAACUCCAGAACUGCCUUCGAUACUGGGAAUCUUGAGUCCGGGAGAGGUGAGUGGAACUGCGAGUGUAGAGGUGAAAUUCGUAGAUAUUCGCAAGAACACCAGUGGCGAAGGCGGCUCACUGGCCCGGUACUGACGCUGAGGUGCGAAAGCGUGGGGAGCAAACAGG